rnacentral:misc_RNA from 1 species
GACGGAGGGUGCUAGCGUUGUUCGGAAUCACUGGGCGUAAAGGGCGCGUAGGCGGUCCGUCGCGUCGGAGGUGAAAGCCCGGGGCUCAACCCCGGAACUGCCUCCGAUACGGGCGAACUCGAGGUCGGAAGAGGAGAGCGGAAUACCCAGUGUAGAGGUGAAAUUCGUAGAUAUUGGGUGGAACACCGGUGGCGAAGGCGGCUCUCUGGUCCGAAUCUGACGCUGAGGCGCGAAAGCGUGGGGAGCAAACAGG